CCCCUUCAAAUCAUCCUUUUUAAAACUUAAUCCCUCUUCUUUUUCUUCUUCAUUUGGGUGGAUCAAACUUACCCUAGCUUCAAACCCUCUUCUCCAAACCGACGGUCCUUCUCUCCAAAUUCUUUAUUUUUUCUCUACAAUCCUUUCUACUCUACCUCUCAUUAGGUCUUCUAAACUGCUUGCAAGUCUCACUUGUCCAAAAUGGCUCUCAAAUUGAAACUACCACAGAGAAGAAAAUCUGUUCAUGGGUUAGAGG
rnacentral:lncRNA from 1 species